rnacentral:rRNA from 1 species
CAAAUGAAAAGAAAAGAAGGAUAAUAGUGCUAUUAUGGAUAGAUGAUGGAAGGGAAUUUUAGCAGCAAUCUGUAAACUUCACUUAGUUUCGUACCCUCUAAUAGCUAAGAUGAAAUAAAUCAAUUAUGAUUACUGCUGGCUGUGGAGGGGCUUUUUUUGGAGCAAUCAGUCAGUAGGAGGGGCUUUUUUCUACUGCUAGUUUUUGCUUCAGUUGGGUACAUGAAUCUCUGGUUAUAAGGAUUUCAGAGCCAUGACCCACGGUAUAUACUUACUAGUACUGUCUACUGUGAUUGAGUAUUUAUUGUUGGUGCUUCCACUAUGUAUUAUUCACCCAUUUGCAUCUUCUUACUCUAGCAUCAAAGGCCCACAAAAAAACAAAUAAUCCUUUAAAUUCUGUAUAAUUUAUUGAGUACUUUUUAGUUAUUGAACGAACUCAUACUGGUUAGUGUUGGUCAUAUGCAAGUAAACUGGAUACCCACCAGACUAACUAUUUCCCAAAGUUAGAGCGAUACAUUCUGUACUACACUGCUAAUGCCUAUCCGAGUUCGUUGUUUUAUUUUCAUGGUAACUAAAUGUUGACAUAUUAGCUAAUUGUGUACCUAAAAAUGACCCAGGUACAGUGGUGCUGCUGGUUCUUUGAGGCCGGGUCGAGUUGAGGUAGGGGAUAGGAAGGUUGAGCCACUCAGGUGCUGAUCAUGUACAUCGGCGCUCCUUCCGGGGUUGACCCGACCAAACCAAUGAUGCAAGGCUUCUCCUGCUGCUGCAUGUCUUCAUCAACUUAGUUCUUCCACAGGGAGAGAUCUAAAUCCUUCACUUGUUCACUGUAUAAUCUGCAAAUUACUUCUUCCAUUAAUCACCUAGUGCUCCUGUUAGUGAGAUUCAUCUAGUAUUUUUUUUUGCAAAGCAUGCGAUGGUUUGGAGUAGUUGAUCAUGGCCUGAUGGAAACUUCAUGUCGUUAGCAUGUAUAUAUGUACUACUACAGCAGCCAGAAGCAAUCCAUUUUAUUAAAUGCAUUCAUCUCAUUACACUAGCUAGCACAAUAUAUUAAUUAAGGCAACUCUACUACAUAUCAAUUUCCCCUACUGGAUUGGUUCUAUAUUUUUAAAGUCGUUUCGUGGUGCUUGAGCCCAACCUGAAGAAAUAUAGGCUUAUGAUGACUAUUUUCCUUCUUAAGUAAUCAUAGUUGUUGGCUUCGGUAGCUUGCUGAAUAUGUUUUAGUUAUAUAUAGAAAUGAUGUGCCUUCUAUGCUUAAAUGAUUGUUUGGCUCUAUAUAAUUGUUGACAUGAAUAUCUUGACUUCCCAAACAAGUAUAGGACUGUACCUAUGCAUACAGAUUAUCCUAACAAAACUGAAAAUAAAAAUUGAAGCAUGAAAUAAGCAAUAAGUGGCUGAUUUUUAUUUGCAUGUUAAGCGGAAAGUUGUAGCUAAGGCUUGUAUAUUACGAAAUAUUGUCACACCUCUGAGCUUCUACCGUUGUUAGGGACAUCGUAGUGUGAUCUUCAUGAUUUUUUGCUUGAAGAUGUACUGAUUCAUUAGUCAAGCAGAGACCGAAGUCAUCUUUUGCUAUUGUUAGCUCUAUGGAUGUGUAUUUACCUGCAACUUCUGCCAGCUCUAACUUGGUUAUAUAGCAGUUCAAUUCAGUCAAUCUGUU